rnacentral:rRNA from 1 species
AUUGAACGCUGGCGGCAUGCCUUACACAUGCAAGUCGAACGGUAACGGGCCUUCGGGUGCCGACGAGUGGCGAACGGGUGAGUAAUACAUCGGAACGUGCCCGAUCGUGGGGGAUAACGAGGCGAAAGCUUUGCUAAUACCGCAUACGAUCUACGGAUGACAGCAGGGGACCGCAAGGCCUUGCGCGGACGGAGCGGCCGAUGGCAGAUUAGGUAGUUGGUGGGAUAAAAGCUUACCAAGCCGACGAUCUGUAGCUGGUCUGAGAGGAUGAUCAGCCACACUGGGACUGAGACACGGCCCAGACUCCUACGGGAGGCAGCAGUGGGGAAUUUUGGACAAUGGGCGCAAGCCUGAUCCAGCCAUGCCACGUGCAGGAUGAAGGCCUUCGGGUUGUAAACUGCUUUUGUACGGAACGAAAAGCCUUCUUUUAAUACAGGAGGGUCAUGACGGUACCGUAAGAAUAAGCACCGGCUAACUACGUG